GCCGGCCUAGCUCAACUGGUAGAGCAACUGACUUGUAAUCAGUAGGUUGGGGGUUCAAGUCCUCUGGCUGGCACCA
rnacentral:tRNA from 1 species